AAAUUGAAGAGUUUGAUCAUGGCUCAGAUUGAACGCUGGCGGCAGGCCUAACACAUGCAAGUCGAGCGGAAACGAGUUAUCUGAACCUUCGGGGAACGAUAACGGCGUCGAGCGGCGGACGGGUGAGUAAUGCCUAGGAAAUUGCCCUGAUGUGGGGGAUAACCAUUGGAAACGAUGGCUAAUACCGCAUGAUGCCUACGGGCCAAAGAGGGGGACCUUCGGGCCUCUCGCGUCAGGAUAUGCCUAGGUGGGAUUAGCUAGUUGGUGAGGUAAGGGCUCACCAAGGC
rnacentral:rRNA from 2 species